UCCCCCCAUAGUACUAUAUCUAUCUUUAUCUACUUACCUGUCUAUCCAUCCAUCCAUUCACUCAUCUUUCUACUUCACAUACUACUACCACUAUAAUUAAUGAUCAGAAAAUAAUCACUCAAGGCACACUCUGGUGACAGGAAGAAUAGUGACAGUUAACACCUAUUGAGCUCUAGGUACCAGACACUGGUCUGAGCUCUUUAUAUUGUUAUAUUCACUUGCUCCUCAUGACACAAAGAUCCCGAGGGACCUCCAUUUACUCAUUUCUGUGGUCCUGCUAGCCAGGCCCUCAAUAAGUGCCUGCUACAGGAAGGACCUAGGAUUGGUGUGUCUGAUGGAUGACAUUCUUUUUAAAGGAACUUUCCCCAAACAAGAGCUUUGGGCUUCCUUCCCUGGAAUUUCUCUCCCCUUCUACGCUAAUGCGUUGUUUGUUGACCCUCUGGCCUAUUGAUUCAAAGUGCCUGAUGCCUAAUUACAGGGAGAAAUCUGUUUGGACACAGUUCUUCAGGAUGGUCCCCAGCAUUUUGGUUUUAAAAUGCUGCUAUAUCCUCACUAGCUUCAUAAAUAGCAGCUCUGGAUGAAGAGCUAAGACCCAGAAAGUUUGGUCAACUUACCCCAUAGGACCCUUGAAGAACUGAAGCCAGACUGGCUGAGAUGACAGCCUUGAUCUGAGCAAGAAUAAAGCUUUGUCUUAGCUUCUCUCACAA